GUCCACCUUGUUGGCCCUCCCCCCUUACCCAUAGACACUAAACCUUACCAGUCUCAGCCCCCCCAGCAUUAUGACACUGAAACUCUCUCUAACAUAGAGAUCGACGACACCACCCCUUCUUCCUUGCCUAUCCCUUCUGAAAAGCUUAUAGCCAUCCAUUACAGCACUUCAGCUGUGCAACUAAUCCCACUGUGUUUCUGUAAUGGCAACUAAGUCAUAGUUUGCCUGCUGCCUGAUAACUUCCAGCUACUCCUGUCUGCUCCUCAAGCUUCAUGCAUUGGUGUAGAUGCACUUCAGCUGAGCCAUCUGCCUCACCCCCAGACCAUCGUUCCCCUAUGCUCAUCUCAAGUGAGCCUGGUUUUAUUCCCUUUCCCCUUCAUACCUAGUUUUAGGCCCUCUCAUUGAGCCCUGCCAUCUCCUGGGCUAGGAUGUGUUUCCUCCUUUGAGGUAGGUGAGACCCAUCAGCACCCAUCAUGCCGUGCCUUUGGGAGAGAAAAUAUCCUUCUCCCUUGCAGAAACAUAGCAGCUUGUGUCAUGUAUUUCCGUUUUGGUCUUUCCCCUGUGUUACUGGUUUUCCUUUCCUGACAGCAUCUCUUUAUCCCUGAGACUUCUUUUGGUGGCCUCCACCUCUCAUGCUGCAGAAGGAAGUCAGGGUGACAUGUACUAUCAGUGGCUUUCAGAGACACACUACCAGCCAGAGACACAUCUAAAAGAGAACUUCACUCUUCAACAAAUAAAGCGUCGCAGUCUGCCUGUUCACAGGUCAGAGAUGAGACUGCCUCUCUAUAUAUGGUCCUCAUCCCACUUGUAAACACCAUAUGUCAUUUCUCUACUAAAAACUAUCUAAGUUGGAACGUAUAUAUCACUGCCAGAGAAAAACAGGCUCCUCUGAGGACACAAUUUACUGUCUGCUUCUUUGAGCACUGCUAACAGAAAUAGGGUCAGCAAUGGGGAUGAGCAUUCUCGGCACAGAACACGAGCACAGCUGAGUGAGUGGCUGGUGUGGCAUCUGUAACUGGGACACCUUGGCUGAGCUCACUCAGUGAACAGCAGUGGAGAGCAGCUGUCCACAGGGCUGUCUGGAGCAGCCUUCGUUCCUGAGAGGGCCGGCACUGCAGAUGGCUCCAGGGGAAGAGGCAUCCUUACUUGAAUUUCUCAGGUCCAAGGUUCCCAACCACAUAUGGCUCUGUCAUCCUAG
ensembl:lncRNA